rnacentral:rRNA from 1 species
GACGAACGCUGGCGGCGUGCCUAAUACAUGCAAGUAGAACGCUGAAGAGAGGAGCUUGCUCUUCUUGGAUGAGUUGCGAACGGGUGAGUAACGCGUAGGUAACCUGCCUUGUAGCGGGGGAUAACUAUUGGAAACGAUAGCUAAUACCGCAUAACAAUGGAUGACACAUGUCAUUUAUUUGAAAGGGGCAAUUGCUCCACUACAAGAUGGACCUGCGUUGUAUUAGCUAGUAGGUGAGGUAACGGCUCACCUAGGCGACGAUACAUAGCCGACCUGAGAGGGUGAUCGGCCACACUGGGACUGAGACACGGCCCAGACUCCUACGGGAGGCAGCAGUAGGGAAUCUUCGGCAAUGGGGGCAACCCUGACCGAGCAACGCCGCGUGAGUGAAGAAGGUUUUCGGAUCGUAAAGCUCUGUUGUAAGUCAAGAACGAGUGUGAGAGUGGAAAGUUCACACUGUGACGGUAGCUUACCAGAAAGGGACGGCUAACUACGUGCCAGCAGCCGCGGUAAUACGUAGGUCCCGAGCGUUGUCCGGAUUUAUUGGGCGUAAAGCGAGCGCAGGCGGUUUGAUAAGUCUGAAGUUAAAGGCUGUGGCUCAACCAUAGUUCGCUUUGGAAACUGUCAAACUUGAGUGCAGAAGGGGAGAGUGGAAUUCCAUGUGUAGCGGUGAAAUGCGUAGAUAUAUGGAGGAACACCGGUGGCGAAAGCGGCUCUCUGGUCUGUAACUGACGCUGAGGCUCGAAAGCGUGGGGAGCGAACAGGAUUAGAUACCCUGGUAGUCCACGCCGUAAACGAUGAGUGCUAGGUGUUGGAUCCUUUCCGGGAUUCAGUGCCGCAGCUAACGCAUUAAGCACUCCGCCUGGGGAGUACGACCGCAAGGUCGAAACUCAAAGGAAUUGACGGGGGCCCGCACAAGCGGUGGAGCAUGUGGUUUAAUUCGAAGCAACGCGAAGAACCUUACCAGGUCUUGACAUCCCGAUGCUAUUUCUAGAGAUAGAAAGUUACUUCGGUACAUCGGUGACAGGUGGUGCAUGGUUGUCGUCAGCUCGUGUCGUGAGAUGUUGGGUUAAGUCCCGCAACGAGCGCAACCCCUAUUGUUAGUUGCCAUCAUUCAGUUGGGCACUCUAGCGAGACUGCCGGUAAUAAACCGGAGGAAGGUGGGGAUGACGUCAAAUCAUCAUGCCCCUUAUGACCUGGGCUACACACGUGCUACAAUGGUUGGUACAACGAGUUGCGAGUCGGUGACGGCAAGCUAAUCUCUUAAAGCCAAUCUCAGUUCGGAUUGUAGGCUGCAACUCGCCUACAUGAAGUCGGAAUCGCUAGUAAUCGCGGAUCAGCACGCCGCGGUGAAUACGUUCCCGGGCCU